CGCGAUGUUCUUUUGUCGUCUUCUAAAGGCACCAGCUAGCGGCACCACCACCAUCGCCAUUACCACUACCUAGUAGUACCUUGUGUGCUGGUGUACCAAACCAGUACCAGCGGAGUGAGUACCAGUACCAGUACUGCUGCUGCUGCUGCUGCUUCUGUAGCUACUGCCGAUGCUGUCGGUGAUGGUGGCUGUAAGAAAAAGAUAGAGAAGACCAAGGGACUAAGUCAGAGAGAGUAAAAUAGGAAAAGAGACACGAGACUCCACUGAAGGUCUGGAUGAAGGAGGAGGUGGUACAAACCCGACAAGGUGGAAGGAGUCAGAAGGAGUGAGGACCAUGAGAAUGAGUUGGAAUCUGGAGACACGGAGGCAACAGAAGAGUUUGGAGGAAGAUUGGAAAAGGUUCCGAAGAGCAGAGGAAGGGCGAGUCGUGAGCUUCGGGCUCAGCCAUCCAAACCGAACUGGUAGCUUGUAGUGGUAGCACCGAGUCGAGGCCAAGGCAAAGAGAGCUACCGUGUCACCCGUGUGAGAGAAGAUUCUGGUGGUAAGGGAGAACCUGAGGAGAAGGAGGAGAGACAGAGAGUGGGUGGGGAGGAGCUGGAGGAGGGAGAGAAGAAUAAAGGAGCAACCCUCAUCCCUGAUUCAAGAUCUUCUCAAAAGCUGAAAAGCCUCCUGUGACUUUUAACUCGGUUGCUCGCUCGCGGAUCGCGUUAUAUGCCCAGGGACGUCGAGAGGGACGCCCAGGCGUCCAUCUUCCAGAAGCGUCCUUCUCAUCCGAAUCCGGUGAAAAGCCUUUUCGAUGGGACGAGGCAGGGCUGGAAAAAGAAUCGACCUCAGGAUUGAUGUACGUACGAGCUUGAAGAAAAUGGUGCGUGAUUCUGGGUGUAUGAACAAAGCUUUAAGCAAUGGCGCGACAGGGUUACCGCCCUCGACGUCCUCACCACGAGAAUCCGUUCACCAGGAUGGGAAAGGAUGCCCUCACCGCGAGCUGGGCGGUCCUGUGCAUCUUUAUCUUUUUUUCCCUUCUUCCCCGUUCCUCCACUCCGAGGGCCCCGCAUCGGCCGACCUCGGCCCCCGAUACUUGGGCCGGCCAAUCAGCUUCUUCAACGAAGGAACUGGCCCCGAUCGAACUGAUACUGAUCUCCGUAACCAGGAGAGAGCUAAGAAAGGAAAAGAGAAAUUAAAAAAUAAUCGGGAAUGUAGCAUGUUUGCAGUUAACAAUUGAUGGAGAAUGGUGACAAGGCUGGGCUAUCAAUUUGCAGUGUAGGUGCUGCCGUCGCAGAGCCCAAAGCACGUGGCUCUCAAGCAGGAAAAUUCGUGUCUUGCCCUGGUACGUGACAGGGGCUGCACAUAACGUUGUAACUGCGAAGGGAAAUGGGAAUUUGCGAGCACUGCUAUGGGGACAUUCCAAAAGGGACUUCAAUUUAUAGGCAACUUCGCAUCUGCCGGUUUAUGAACGAUGGACGGGACAAUAAUUUUGAGAACGAAUAUAAAUCAAUUUUCCUCGAGAGCCUCAUAAGAAAAAACCAAUCGAUCAGCCCUGAUAUUACUAAGCCGGUAAGAAAACAAGAACUGAAAAAUCAGCCGGGACCUGAACCAUUACCCACUGACUAAUAAUUCCCAGCCUUACCGACUGAAGACAACAGCAAAAACUUCUACGCUCCUUCAGUAACAAAACUUCGAGUUGUCGAUAAAAACGUGUUUCUCAUGGUCGGCACAUUAUUGUAUAAAAUAAUCUAAACGCAGCAGGUGACUGUAUUUCUGAACUAAAAUACCAGAACAUCGACAGGAGGCACAGGAAGUCCUUAGGUCAUCAAGGACCCGUCACAGUGCUCAGAUGGCGAUGAUAACGCUGACGUUAUCAGUAUAAGGAAAGAGGAACUUGUCAUACUUAAAAAAAAAUCCAUACUCAACAGCAAAGCAGUCACGAAAACCAAUCGCCUUUUUCGCACAGUGGACACAAACAGGAUUUGGGGCUUUAUGAUAGAGGUCGACUCCGACAAAGCCCUGUAUAGUAACCAGCUGGAGAAAAGCGAAUUGGACAGUAUUAACCACAAAGGCAGAAAGGGGAGGAUUUAGGCUCUUCCUGUCCACACGAGCGUUGAGUGGCUCCAAGCGCUGCUGCAUCAUCCCUCAAUAGGAUUUUUACUGUUUCUUUUUUCCAUCCCCCUAUUCACGCUUAUAUGCUCCCCGAUCGUUUCUUUUUUUAUUAUCUAAUACUAACUACCCCUUUCCAUGGAAAAUACCAUCCCUCAACGCUACUAACACAAGACACGAAAUUUCACGUUUGAUUGUCGAUGCCUAAAUUAUCCACUGCUUAAUCAAGAACACCUUAGCUGCUGCCAACACCCUUCCGUUCCUUAGGGGUGUUUUAGUACAGCUAGGGGGCGAAUUUCAUAGUGAAGCAAAUGUCGUACUCCGUAAUUCCUAAAUGUAAACUCUAUGCCAGAUAGUGGCUCUAAUGUUCCUGACAUGUCCUAUCUGCUAGAUUCUCUUCAUUUCCGCGACGUAGACGACUGCCACAGCGAUCUUCACCGACAGCAGCCGAACGGUUCCGACGAUCCUGAACUCGCUGCAACUCCUUCGACCUGAGACUAUCACAAAAUAAAUGAUCUUAUCAAAUUGUAUGCGAACCUACUUUCCAUUUACAGAC